rnacentral:rRNA from 1 species
CGAACGCUGGCGGCGUGCCUAAUACAUGCAAGUAGAACGCUGAAGGAGGAGCUUGCUUCUCCGGAUGAGUUGCGAACGGGUGAGUAACGCGUAGGUAACCUGCCUGGUAGCGGGGGAUAACUAUUGGAAACGAUAGCUAAUACCGCAUAAGAGUAGAUGUUGCAUGACAUUUGCUUAAAAGGUGCAAUUGCAUCACUACCAGAUGGACCUGCGUUGUAUUAGCUAGUUGGUGGGGUAACGGCUCACCAAGGCGACGAUACAUAGCCGACCUGAGAGGGUGAUCGGCCACACUGGGACUGAGACACGGCCCAGACUCCUACGGGAGGCAGCCGUAGGGAAUCUUCGGCAAUGGACGGAAGUCUGACCGAGCAACGCCGCGUGAGUGAAGAAGGUUGUCGGAUCGUAAAGCUCGGUUGUAAGAGAAGAACGAGUGUGAGAGUGGAAAGUUCACACUGUGACGGUAUCUUACCAGAAAGGGACGGCUAACUACGUG